CUGGGGAGGAGGCGCUUCCGCAGGGCUGGCGCACGGGGUUCAGCGCACCUGCGCCUUCUCACCUGGACGCUCGCACCUGGUUCUCCGUCCGUAAGGCUCAAGCUGAGAACUGGGACCAUAUGGAACUCCCAUCUCACUGUAAAUCCAAAGUUCUGUAUGCAGCACCAAAAACGGAUGAAUGUCUGCUUCUAGACUACACAGGCCAAAGUGAAGUCUGAAAGAUGUGAAGAAAUGCAAUGCAUUUGAACACUGGCACGUUGCUUUGCAGGAAGUACUCCGUAAACUCUCUUUCCCUUGUUACCCUUAAGAUUCAGCUUGCUGGGGAUCCCUGGGUGGUGCAGCGGUUUGGCGCCUGCCUUUGGCCCAGGGCGCGAUCCUGGAGACCCGGGAUCGAAUCCCACGUCGGGCUCCCAGUGCAUGGAGUCUGCUUCUCCCUCUGCCUGUGUCUCUGCCUCUCUCUCUCUAUCAUAAAUAAAUUAAAAAAAAUAAAAAAAAAAGAUUCAGCUUGCUGGUUACACAGAGAAGGUGGUUAAGAGAAGGAGGACCUUGUCAGGAGACCAGGUACCCAAAACUGUCACGGAAUCCAGCUUCUUUAGGUAUUGAGCCUAGAGGUCCUGGACUUUUGUUGGCAGUUAUUAGUAAUUUUUGAAAGAUUUUAUUUACUUAUUCGUGAGAGGCAGCCAUUUAACUGACUGAGCCACCCAGAUGCCCCCAUCUUUAGUACUAAGGCAAAAAUUAUGUUUGAUUUCCGUCUAGGCCUGUGGGUAGGAUUGCAUUUCUCUGCUCGCUUAAAACUAGGCAUGGCCCUUUGGCCGAGAAAAGUAUGGGUAGUUUUUAAGAUCAGUUCACAUUCCUUUUCCCUUUCAUAGAUUGGCUACACUUAAGACGCAGUGGAGGCUCCAUUAACCUCUGUCACUAAAGGUGAUAUGAAGCAGAGCUUUUUUUGGUCCCAAAUUGGACAUGUAUGAGAUAAAAACUUCUGUGGUUUAAAAACAUUUAAGAUACGGGGGGCGCCUAGGUGGCUCAGUCGGUGAAGCUUUCGCCUUCAGCUCAGAUCAUGAUCCCAGGGUCCUGGGACUGAGUCCCGGGAUCAAGCCCUGCAUUGGGCUGCCUGCCUGUCGGGGGGGGGGGGGGUCUGCUUCUCCCUGUCCCUCUGCUCCUCCUUCACCUUCGUGCUCUAAUAAAUAAGUAAAACCAUAAAAAAAAAAAGAAGACAAAAAAACCACGCCAGGCUUUAGGAUUGCUCAUUAUAGCCUAUUCUGAUACAAGUGGUUCGUUGGUAAAGGCAAAAUGAGGUUCUGAGCCAUAGAAAUACCAGUUGAGAUGGUUCCAGGCUUUGUCUUUUAGCUGAACCUUGUUUCCUGUGUAUUGAUCCCACCCAUUAGAGAACUCCACAAAGGCACGUAUCUAUGCCACACUCAACACUGCCCUUUAGGGACUCUGAUGUCUGUUGGGUACAUGAAUAAAACCUAACAGGAAGGCCAAUAUACUUGGCCCUGAUCCAUGAAAAAUUUAGUUUCUCAUGAGGCUUCUGGACAUACAACACCACAGGACCCUGGUGCACAAGAGUACCCCCAAAGUUAGUGUUUCAACCCCCCCUUUUUUUUAAGAUUUUAUUUAUUUAUUUAUGAGGGACACACACGCACGCACGCAGAGACCCAGGCAGAGACCCAGGCAGGGAGCCCAACGUGGGACUGGAUGGAUCCCGGGUCUGCAGGAUCACACCCCGGGCUGAAGGUGGCGCUAAACCGCUGAGCCGCUUGGGCUGUCCUCAAAACCCUUUCUUAGCCCAAUUCUGAAUUCAGCUGGAUUGUGCUGCUGCACAUUGUACCUGCUGAGGCUGAAACGUCUAAGGUGGCGUCUUCCCCCACACGUCUGGUGCUGCCUCGGCAUGGGCGGAGUAGCUGAGAUUUGGCCGGGCGCCUCCUCUCCACCUCGUUUCUCCAACAGUCACGCAACCUCCUUACGUGCUGGCUCCGGGUUCCCAGGACAAAUGUUUCAAGAGGACAAGUCCCAGCGUGCAAGUCCUUCUCCAGCCUCUGCCUGAUGAUGUCUCAUUGGCCCAGAGUCCGUGUGGAAGGAGACAAGAACACGUACCAGGGGGGUUCACUGGAAGCCACCAGUGUUAACUGUCCGCCCAAGCUUGUGAUCCCCGGGCAGACGGCUGAAGCCACAGGCCUGGCUUCACAAGUAACAGUCUGACCCAGGCGUUAAAUUACUGGCCCGGGAUCACAUGUCUAAAUGAUAGAUGGGGAAAAGACUAUCCUUUCAUGCUGCAGAUCUUUGCCUACUGGCAGGAAGUCAGAGGUUUGCUGUGGCCUUUUACCAGGUCUCCUUGCCCUUUACUUACUGUCACAUUACUCCCCCCGCCCCCACCCUUUCUCCUUUCCUGGUUCUCAGUAGCCGAUUGUGGGCAAAUGUGAGUAUCUAUGCUCAGGAAGGGGACAGUGCAGAUCGUCCAGACUGGAAUGUGUUUUAUCGCAUUAUCUACGUGAAUAGUAGCUAUUAGGUGGAUGUGAUCUAGCAUGUUCCAGAAGCUCGUAACACGUCACAGAAAAUAUAGAGGUCUUGUGAUGAAACCACCUUGGAAGGCCUGCCAAUGUCAAAGGGAAGCCUCUGUCCUCGUCCUCCCCGGGACGGUGUGCCAGCCUAUGGGGAAGUGUCUCCUUCCCUCAGCUUGCU